CGCAAGGGCAGAACAUCGGGGGGGUCUUGGUGAGGUAUAAAGGAGAUCUUUCCCGUCAGAUUUGACCAGUUAAACAGGGUAAAUCACACAUUUGGUUAAGGUUAAAGCCUGGGCAGAACUGAUAGACCCCUGUCUCUCUGUGCUGUUCAUAUACCCACAGCAGAUUCUCCUUAUUCUGAAGACGACAUUUCUGAAACUCUCCACUCAGAAAUCUCCAGUUUCCAGGCCCAGGAACUGAACCUGAUGUCAUCGACCCACAGGGCAACAACCAUGUGUUCGGGCAGUCUCUGCUGUUUACCACACCAACCCUCAGCCCUCGGGACAACCUGGACUCUGAAAUCAACCGAAGCGGCAGGGAGGCAGUGCAACUGUCGGGCCUUGGGCCUGUGCAUAGUUAUCGGUAGGUUCAGAGGGGACUCUUUAUGGGGGUUUCACCUACUCCUCAGCUCCUGGGUCGACUGUAGUAGACUACGCAGUCACUGACAUGGACCCUCCACCAUCAGUGCUUUCACUGUCAGACAGAAACCCCCCCUUUCAGACCACAACCAAGUAAAUGUGUUCUUUACACUCUCAGGUCAAAGGAGUGACACGAACAGGGAACCCAGGAAGCUGUAUAAAUUAAACCCUACUUACAGAUGGGCCCCAGACAGUGGAGACAAAUUCAUCACCUGAUCUGAUGACUGACAUAUCAGCAUAUAACCAAAAUCAAUACGUCCCUACCUGAGAUGGUGUAAAGGCCACUGAUGAUAUCAACAUGAUAUUUCAUGAGGCAGCUGUUAAAGCUGACCUUAUAAAACAAAAAUGGAAGCCUGUUAAAAAGCAAAACGCAGACAAAUGGUUUGAUCAACAAUAUUACACCCACAUGAAACACAAUUAAUUGAAAUCAAUCCUGGGAUCUGUGGAACAUCUUCAACACAAAGCAGCAGCAAGCUCUGCCCAUCCAACAUGGUGACAUCUGGAGAGCACAUUCUGAAAAUCUGUACAAAGACAUUCCAAUAAAUCUAAUUAAUCCAGAUCAAUGUGUUAUAAAGGAAAAACUCCAAACAUGAGAAGAAACAAUUAAAGGCAACCAAAAGCCCCUUGAUUUCCCGAUUACUUGGGAACAACUGACCACACAGACAGAGUCUCUCCGGCCAGGGAAAGCUUGUGGUCCGGACAGCGUUAACAACGAAAUGCUGAAACGCAGCACCCCAGAGAUGCAGGGUGCUGAAGCUGUCCAGCACCGUCCUUCAGUCAGGAUGGACGCCAAACAGGAAAUGGCGUUGGAGCUCCUGCUGCUGCGGAUCGUCCUCGCAGACGCGCCGAGGACGGAGCAGAGACACGAAACUGAUUAAAGCGUCUUCAGUAUCGCUUUCCGCUCCCGGUGGUUUCACACGCGGAUGCAUUUCUCCUCGCUGCAGGGACGCUCCCUCGCGUCUCUCCGGCCGCCGGGGGAAACCCGCAGAGUCUCCGUCAACGCAGGACCGGACCAACGCUUCCACUGAGGUGCGGAAGCAGCUGGAGAGUGAAAGGAAAGGUUAAAUAUCCUGGAGAUGAUGCGUUUAUUUGUUUUUCUUCUUCUUGGUGAGAGCGAACUGCAUGGAGGUGUUUUCAGCAGGAGGAGGAGGAGGAAGAAGAAGAUCUGGAGGAGCAGGAGGAGACAGAG